ACAACUGGAUUGUUGGAGAAAUACGGUUAUUAUAGUCAGCAGAGUGGUGUACUGUCUUUUGAAUAAAGUUUGAGGUUCUUUUUUUAGACUUACUAUUUGCUUUUGACCUUACAGUUAAAAUGAAAAACCUUUUCCUUUUUUUCUUUAAUCAGAGAGCCACAAAGGAGGAGUUGAGGUCUCCGGAGCCACCAGUAGCAGACCUUGGAGGUUGCAGACCCCUGAUCAGGAGCAACAGGGAGUGUGAAGAAGCGAUGUAACGGAUGGAGAAAGGUGUCAGUUGUUUUGAGGAAAAGACAGAGGUGGAGGAAGCAGACAUGAAGAUGUUGAGGGAGAAUGCAGGAAAGCCAGUUUGGACACGUUAAGUGGAGGGACAAUGUCAAUAAAA